rnacentral:lncRNA from 1 species
GCAAAGCCGGCUCAUAGUCAGAGACUGCUGGGAGAGCCGCGGGCCCAGAGUGGGCGGAGCUGGCCGCAGACCCCCCCCUCGGUGGGCGGGGCGUUCCUGCUCCGCCCCGCCCCGCGCACAGCCGAGCGCCGCGCCGCUCGGCCCCGCCCCUCCCCGGCCCUGCCCCCUUCACCUCCCUGCAGCUCCUCCCCUCUCCCAUUGGCCGAGGUGGAGACCCUCCUCUCUGCCCAAUGGCCGCCGCCGCGGCUCGGCCGUCCGCGUCCUGACUGGCCAGCUACAGACAGAGUGGCGGGGUGCGGACCAAUAGGAAGAGGCGGCUCGAUGAAUGGCUGGCCCGGGUGGGGAAGGCAGGAGGCGGCGAUCCCGGCGGAGGGGGCCGUUCGCCAGCUCCGAGGCAGAAAGUGCCACGACUCCACACGCGCGCACGCAGCCAGCGAGCGGCCGGAGCGGACGGCGGACGGGGCGGGCGGCGUCAGGGUCGCGGCGUCUACAGCUGCUCGGGGGCGGUUUCUUGGUGGAGGCUCGGCCGGCUCCUCUCUCCCGGCUCCGCGGCGGCGGCGAAGGCGGCGGCUCCUGCCCUCUCGCUCUCCCUCUCGUGUCUCUGGCUGCAGGUGAAAGGAAAGCAAGC